rnacentral:rRNA from 1 species
UGCGCAGGCGGUGAUGUAAGACCGAUGUGAAAUCCCCGGGCUUAACCUGGGAACUGCAUUGGUGACUGCAUCGCUUGAGUAUGGCAGAGGGGGGUAGAAUUCCACGUGUAGCAGUGAAAUGCGUAGAGAUGUGGAGGAAUAUCGAUGGCGAAGGCAGCCCCCUGGGUCAAUACUGACGCUCAUGCACGAAAGCGUGGGGAGCAAACAGGAUUAGAUACCCUGGUAGUCCACGCCCUAAACGAUGUCAACUGGUUGUCGGGCCUUUACAGGCUUGGUAACGAAGCUAACGCGUGAAGUUGACCGCCUGGGGAGUACGGUCGCAAGAUUAAA